AUAUAUUUUUUUUUUUACCUAAUAGAACUAUACCACGUUCCAGUUCCCAAGUAGCACUAGCACUCUCCAAAAUCCAAUUCCCAUCAAUUUUCUGCAGUCAAUUUUGCCUCCAGUCCGCUUUCUAUUUACAGGUGAUAAUCGAGAAGAUGUGGAAGUAUCUAUAUAUAUAUCUAUAUACAUAAAGGGAGAGCCCCAGUUUGGUGAAGCAUUUGAUAAACCCAAUAUUGCCCUUUGUUUCCUUCACAAUAAAAAACCACAAAAGUUUAAAAAAUGAGGACAAAUUCGUAAACAACCAUUACUGAAUAGAAAACAAAUAAAAAAAAAUCUAUAAAUGGACGUGCUUAACAGUUAACCCUCAUAAACUGCUAAGCAGUAGUGGGCAGUUAAAAAACACAAAUUAAAAAAAAAAAAAAAAAACUAUCUUUACCAUAUAUGUAACAAAGAAGGUUACAGUAGAAAGAAAAUAUAAAUAAAUAAAUAAAAAACAAAAUUAAAAAAGUAUUGGAAAAGAAAACGGAAAAUUGAAAAAAAGAAGAAAAACAAGUUGAUAUGCUUAAGCCUCUCAACUGCUAAGCGGUAGUGGACAGUUUUCUCCCCCAUAGAAUUCCAUGAUCUGAGUUAGGAGGUUCAACACUAAAGAAAGAAACUGUAUUUGAAGUAGUUGUCGUAGUAGUCUCCCAUUCCAAUUUCACGAUCCCUUGCGCUCUAACAUCUCCCGUUCCCUUGCACUCACCCAGUUUCUAUGUAUGGGUCUUACUUUUCCAUACAAAAACGGAAUCAUUGCCUUUAUCUCUAGGUAAAACAUAACACCAAAAUGGUCAAUCUCUCUAGAGAAACGAUCCCUUCAUUAAAGAGGUUCUGAUUACGGCCGCCCACGUCACCUUCUACGAAUUCAACAUCGAGAACAAUCAAUGGGUUCUUUUCUUGAAUCGUAACUUCCACUUCUCCGUUUGGUUGCCCAGAAAACUAUAAGAAAUUCAAGGGUUUUUAAAAUUAAUCCAAAUUAAUUUUAUCUUUUUUAAUUAAUUAUGUUUUGGAUUUUUGGAUUUUUUGAACUUUACAGUUGUUUUGCAGCACAUCAACGACGACAGAAACAUGUAGAGAAGGAGAUAAUGAGAAAGAGAGAGACAAAGACGAAAUUAAAAUGGGGUCGAGAGCGAGAGUAGCCGGGGCAUUAUCAAACCUCAUUUGGACCCUCUGGAAAGAAGACCACCUGAAACACGCAAUCCAAUAGUCACUCCCAUCUCUCAGACAUGCCUUCUCUCAUUAUGAUCAGAUCAAUCUCAUCGACAACGUCCUUGACCACCAGCUUCGCUUUCAGCGGUAAAGGUACAGAGAAUGGUGUGGACUAUAAAGGAAGCUUACUUUGUGUUGGAAAUAUGUUAAUGUCUUGGGCUGCCAUCUAAAUCUCUGAUAUCUCUUGACAGGAUUUAAAAUUGUUUUAUGAUGCCAAGUUUGGUACAAAGAAAACACCGGAGUUGCAGUAGAAUGAGCAGUCCACUGAUGGAGCUGUGAUAAUGGGAGUAGUAAUUCCCAUGUGACAGCAAAUGGGAAUAUGUGAAGAGAAAACUGACUUGGUCAUCUAUGAGCAAUUUCAAAAGCAGGGUAAGAGCUUGGCAACUCACUCAAAUGGAGUCUUAUCUGAUCGGCAUGAGGAGAUACUGUAUGAUUUUGUUUUCAUUACAUUUUUACGACAUUUUUACGUGUGACGUAUUAAAUUUUAUUGAAUAAUGCUUCUUUAAGAACUGACAUUUUUUUGUGAACUUCCCAGCCAAAAGUCCCUUUUACCUACUUUUGAAUCGGCAGAAAUGCGUACGCUAGGGGAGAGUUUAUGCAUGUGAUUAUACAUGAAUGACUUCACACGAUGUAAA